GACGAACGCUGGCGGCGUACUUAACACAUGCGAGUCGAACGGAAAGGCCCUGCUUUUGUGGGGUGCUCGAGUGGCGAACGGGUGAGUAACACGUGAGUAACCUGCCCUUGACUUUGGGAUAACUUCAGGAAACUGGGGCUAAUACUGGAUAGGAGCUCCUGCUGCAUGGUGGGGGUUGGAAAGUUUCGGCGGUUGGGGAUGGACUCGCGGCUUAUCAGCUUGUUGGUGGGGUAGUGGCUUACCAAGGCUUUGACGGGUAGCCGGCCUGAGAGGGUGACCGGCCACAUUGGGACUGAGAUACGGCCCAGACUCCUACGGGAGGCAGCAGUGGGGAAUAUUGCACAAUGGGCGGAAGCCUGAUGCAGCAACGCCGCGUGCGGGAUGACGGCCUUCGGGUUGUAAACCGCUUUCGCCUGUGACGAAGCGUGAGUGACGGUAAUGGGUAAAGAAGCACCGGCUAACUACGUG
rnacentral:rRNA from 1 species